rnacentral:rRNA from 1 species
GACGAACGCUGGCGGCGUGCUUAACACAUGCAAGUCGAACGAUGAACCCGGAGCUUUCUCUGGGGGAUUAGUGGCGAACGGGUGAGUAACACGUGAGUAACCUGCCCUGGACUCUGGGAUAAGCGUUGGAAACGACGUCUAAUACCGGAUAGGACCUUGGAUCGCAUGAUCUGGGGUGGAAAGUUUUUUCGGUCUGGGAUGGACUCGCGGCCUAUCAGCUUGUUGGUGAGGUAAUGGCUCACCAAGGCGUCGACGGGUAGCCGGCCUGAGAGGGUGACCGGCCACAGUGGGAAUGAGAAAGGGCGCAGACUCCUACGGGAGGCAGCAGUGGGGAAUAUUGCACAAAGGGCGAAAGCAUGAUGCAGCAACGGAGCGUGCGGGAUGACGGCCUUCGGGUUGUAAACAGAAAUAAGUAGGGAAGAAGGGCUACGGCUUGACGGUACCUGCAGAAAAAGGACCGGCUAACUACGUG